CCCAUGAAACAAGCGGCUGGAGGGGGCUUGCUCCUUGAUUCAGCGGCGGACGGGUGAGUAAUGCCUAGGAAUCUGCCUGGUAGUGGGGGACAACGUUUCGAAAGGAACGCUAAUACCGCAUACGUCCUACGGGAGAAAGCAGGGGACCUUCGGGCCUUGCGCUAUCAGAUGAGCCUAGGUCGGAUUAGCUAGUUGGUGAGGUAAUGGCUCACCAAGGCGACGAUCCGUAACUGGUCUGAGAGGAUGAUCAGUCACACUGGAACUGAGACACGGUCCAGACUCCUACGGGAGGCAGCAGUGGGGAAUAUUGGACAAUGGGCGAAAGCCUGAUCCAGCCAUGCCGCGUGUGUGAAGAAGGUCUUCGGAUUGUAAAGCACUUUAAGUUGGGAGGAAGGGCAGUAAGUUAAUACCUUGCUGUUUUGACGUUACCGACAGAAUAAGCACCGGCUAACUCUGUGCCAGCAGCCGCGGUAAUACAGAGGGUGCAAGCGUUAAUCGGAAUUACUGGGCGUAAAGCGCGCGUAGGUGGUUCGUUAAGUUGGAUGUGAAAGCCCCGGGCUCACCUGGGAACUGCAUCCAAAACUGGCGAGCUAGAGUACGGUAGAGGGUGGUGGAAUUUCCUGUGUAGCGGUGAAAUGCGUAGAUAUAGGAAGGAACACCAGU
rnacentral:rRNA from 2 species